rnacentral:rRNA from 1 species
AGUGAACGCUGGCGGUGGGCCUAACACAUGCAAGUCGAACGGCAGCACAGUAAGAGCUUGCUCUUACGGGUGGCGAGUGGCGGACGGGUGAGGAAUACAUCGGAAUCUACUUUUUCGUGGGGGAUAACGUAGGGAAACUUACGCUAAUACCGCAUACGACCUACGGGUGAAAGCAGUGGAUCUUCGGACCUUGCGCGAUUGAAUGAGCCGAUGUCGGAUUAGCUAGUUGGCGGGGUACAGGCCCACCAAGGCGACGAUCCGUAGCUGGUCUGAGAGGAUGAUCAGCCACACUGGAACUGAGACCCGGUCCAGACUCCUACGGGAGGCAGCAGUGGGGAAUAUUGGACAAUGGGCGCAAGCCUGAUCCAGCCAUACCGCGUGGGUGAAGAAGGCCUUCGGGUUGUAAAGCCCUUUUGUUGGGAAAGAAAAGCAGCAGGUUAAUACCCCGCUGUUCUGACGGUACCCAAAGAAUAAGCACCGGCUAACUUCGU